rnacentral:snRNA from 1 species
GACCAAGGAGUCUGACAUGUGUG